CAAAGGUAGCACAAUCACUUGUCUCCUAAAUAGGGACUAGUAUCAAUGGCAAGACGAGGGCCCAACUGUCUCCCUUCUUAAAAACUAAACUUCUCUAGUCGUGCAAAAGCGACCAUUUAAGCGUAAGACGAGAAGACCCUAUCGAGCUUCAAGGAGUAAAAUAAAGAUUGGAGCUAACAACCGCCUUAAAAAUUAAUAAUUAACCUCUAACAACGUUCUCCCCUCUGCUUCUUUUUCCUUCCACACUCCUUUUGGUUGGGGCAACCACGGAGAACAUUUAACCUCCGAAUUAACCUUUCUAAGAUUAAUAAAUCGAACAUUACGACCCCUAAAACUCAUGACCCAGACUAUCUGAUCAUUAAAUAAGUUACCGUAGGGAUAACAGCGUAAUCCCUUCUAAGAGUCCGCAUUGCCGAAGGGGUUUGCGACCUCGAUGUUGGAUCGGGUCGUCCUGAUGGUGCAGCCGCUAUC
rnacentral:rRNA from 1 species